rnacentral:rRNA from 1 species
GACGAACGCUGGCGGCGUGCCUAAUACAUGCAAGUCGAACGAGAGCGACCGGUGCUUGCACUGGUCAAUCUAGUGGCGAACGGGUGAGUAACACGUGGGUAACCUGCCCAUCAGAGGGGGAUAACAUCCGGAAACGGAUGCUAAAACCGCAUAGGUCUUCGAACCGCAUGGUUUGAAGAGGAAAAGAGGCGCAAGCUUCUGCUGAUGGAUGGACCCGCGGUGCAUUAGCUAGUUGGUGAGGUAACGGCUCACCAAGGCCGUGAUGCAUAGCCGACCUGAGAGGGUGAUCGGCCACAUUGGGACUGAGGCACGGCCCAAACUCCUACGGGAGGCAGCAGUAGGGAAUCUUCCGCAAUGGACGCAAGUCUGACGGAGCAACGCCGCGUGAGUGAAGAAGGUUUUCGGAUCGUAAAACUCUGUUGUUAGAGAAGAACAAGUGCUAGAGUAACUGUUAGCGCCUUGACGGUAUCUAACCAGAAAGCCACGGCUAACUACGUG